UUAGUGCUCUUUACUUUACCAAUCUUUGGGAAAAAAAAAAAGGGGAAUGAGCACAGCGUUUCAAGAUAAACCUGUUGCUUCCACACCGUUUCCUUGUCUGUCAUAUCACAAAGACACCAGCUCCUGUCCCCACAGCCUCAUCACCCCGAGCCACUUUCACGUGUGGGUCCAAAUGCCAGUGCUUCCCCAUGUGACCCAUCUAAACCCACGCGCAUCCACAUCUAGCUAACGCACCUCUCAAGUGAAAAAUCAGACCUUAGCUAACUAACUUGACUUGAAAACCGCACUUAGGUUUACAACAACUCGUAAAGCGCGUGAACAUAUCACAUCAUUCUCAUCUUAAUAUUAUUAUAUUAUUAUAUAUUACAAAAUUAUACAAAACAAAAAUUAUAGGAAAAAAAAACAGCUCACCGGAGAGAAACCGCCGGCGAUAGAUAAACCUGACUCUGCAUCACAGUUUUACCGAUCUUGAACCCGGGAACCACCGUGAAAUCCACCCGCAGAUCGGCGUCAACACCUUCACUUUCUAGUAAAGAUUCUUGGGUUACGCUCUCCAUGUACACCUCAGAGAAUCUGGAAUUCUUGCUCACCUGAAAAAUGCUAACAUCUUCACCAAAUGAGAAGGCCAGAAGGUUCAAAGACCAUACUCGCCUAGCCAUCUCUAUAAAAGCUGUAAAGAAAGCGGUAUCUGGGAAUCCACCGGAGUUCACUAGCUUCCUCUGGUUCAAAUUUCCAAACAGAGAGCACUCCAUUUUUGCAUGUACAAGCUUCAGAUACUUGGCCCUGGUGAAUCUUGCGAAGGAUGAAGUUGGAUUUUGGUUCAAGUAGUGUCUUGGGUUCACUGAUUUUAGCUUCUUGAACUUAUUGAAGUAGUGUUCACCACUGUGACGGUAAUGGUGAUGGUGAUCCAUGGGCGGUGGAGAUUCAUUUGGGAGCAUAAAAUUUGGAUAAUUGAAACCCUCGAACAUUGUUUUGCUCACAAAUGAUUCAAACACAAAGCAACGAUGGGUUGGCUUUGGAAAAAUGGAUUCAGAUUCGAUUGCUUUUGCAGCUGCUUCAAUAUCCCAUUCAGCAACCUCCAUUUCACGAACCAUCAACUUCACAAAACUCCUUAUGGAUCUCAAAGCAGAAUGCAAGAAUUGAACGAAAUGGGUUGGCUUUAAGAUCGAGUACUGAAUAUUAUCAAACAUCGAUAAAGCCCCACUUGCAUUUAAUCUUUUCUCUAGAGACUUGUUGAAUGCAAUGGACUCAUCAAGCUGUUUCUUGAGCAAGGAAAUGUCUGAAUCUUUAAACUUAGUUUCCGAUUCCAGUUUCUUGAUGGUGAUCUCGUAAGUCUUCAUCAAGCUCUGUUGCUCCUGAAUCUCUGCAAGCAUAACAGUAACCUGUGGUGAGAGGUGAUCAAGUUCAUUCUUGAAAAAGCUUCGUUUAAGUUCUGAUAGUAGCUUGAGCUCUUCUACAAUAGCCUGAUCUGCAGCAUGUAUAGCAUCACUACAGUAAGGAUUCUGAGCCAUUUGAAGUUCUGCAUAAGCUGCUUUGAUGGUAGUGAUGCCUGCAAAAAGCUUGGCAAGUAAUGCAUCCAACACUGCCUUGCGCUUGGCUUUAGAAUGAUCAUCCUUGUGCUUGUCAGUGGCGGAAAUAUGGGAUUUGUAAAUUGUGGUUGGAUCAUCCUGAAAUUUGCUUUGUGGAGUGAGUAUGCAAAUCCCAAUCCCAUUAUUGGAAGCAAUUCUUGUUGCAGUCUUGAGGUUUAUGACUUUUUGGAAAGUUCUUGCAAUCUUGCUCUUGUUGCUGGGGACUGAUCUGCAUUUGAUGGUCUCCAUUGGAUGAAAUUUUAGAUGGUGAGUGUGGUUUUGAUCAUAAAAAAAUAAUAAUAAAUGAAAUUAAAAUUCAGUGAUUCUGGUUAAGAAAGAAAGAGAUUUUGGGGGAUGGAAAGUGACUGUUAUACGAUGAGAAAAAGCACUCACAAAUUUUGACUAACAGAUUGAAGCCGGGGAUGGAGGCGGCCCAAAGAGGAGAAAUUAAUUAAAAUAAAAUAAAAUAGAUUAUGAAAGUUAGAUU
rnacentral:misc_RNA from 1 species